rnacentral:rRNA from 1 species
GUGCCAGCCGCCGCGGUAAUACGGAGGGGGCUAGCGUUGUUCGGAAUUACUGGGCGUAAAGCGCACGUAGGCGGACCGGAAAGUUGGGGGUGAAAUCCCGGGGCUCAACCCCGGAACUGCCUCCAAAACUAUCGGUCUUGAGUUCGAGAGAGGUGAGUGGAAUUCCGAGUGUAGAGGUGAAAUUCGUAGAUAUUCGGAGGAACACCAGUGGCGAAGGCGGCUCACUGGCUCGAUACUGACGCUGAGGUGCGAAAGUGUGGGGAGCAAACAGGAUUAGAAACCCCAGUAGUCC